rfam:Oscillatoriales cyanobacterium TSR001 contig_42, whole genome shotgun sequence.
UAGUAGAUGCACCCUGAUUAAUGAGCCUUGACCAAUUUUGGUUAGGGCUUUUUUGU